rnacentral:sRNA from 1 species
GUUGGGUAUAGUGGUUUGUGCCUGUAAUUUCAGCUACCUGGGAAGCUGAGGCAGGAGGAUCACAAGUUUAAGGUCAGCCAGGGCAACUUAUUGAGAUCCUGUCUUAA